GACCCGCCUCCGCCCGCCGGCCCGCGUCACGCGGUCAGUGACGGACACGCAGUCAGAGGGGAUGGACGCUACGUCUGUCACUUACUGUAAAAUAUUAUUAUAGUUACACUGAGUAUUGAUACUUACACUAGGAGGAACUCUAAACACCGCGGCAGACUCACUACGUCAUAACAAACACUUGUGAGAGUUGGACUAUUGGCCUCACAUUACGUCACAGUAGACGAAGACACCAAAAAGUUGACCAUUCCAGAAGUUAUGGAACUUCUCGCCCCUUCUAAAUGAAGAUAAAUAUUAGAAGACAGGAAGAGUGUGUGACUCCAGACAAGCAGUAAGGCGAGACUGACGGGCAGAAAGCACAAGACCUCCAACAUCUUGCCAGUAACACCAGUACUGCAGAAGAGAACGAGGCCGGCCGCCUGUUGUAGCAGUUUGGCCCAGAACUGCACGUUUGGUGGCGGGAAAUGAGCCAAUCAGAGUCGCCGACCUAGAAACCAAGCGCACGGAUCAAUUUGGGCAGUCAGUACUCCACUCGGUCCAGUGGCAGAAGCAUAAAGUACUAGGCUUGUGGUCCAUUGAUACAAAAGGCCGAAAACGUGCUCCACCCCGGCAAGCAGUGUGUUGGCUCGGCGUUUGAGGGAGGAGAUUUGGUGGGUGCAUGGAAUCACUUUUGGGUCUUCGUUUGGAAGACGGGCUGCUUUAUUGGGACUGACUGGUGACUGCAGUGGAUUGACAUUGGGGCGACUGAUAGAUGAAAGGAUGAGCGGUCAAUGUUGACGAGGAAGGUAUGAUACGAGCGGACCUGCAGAUUAAUUCAACAGAGAAGAAUUAAAUGCCAGUCAAAGCAUAGAUAUCCAAUGGACUUGGAAAGGAAGCAUCAACAUUGGCGGCCUCUUGUCUGACUCGUAUAUUCCCCAUGAAGCUCUUUCUCAUCCAUGGACGAUGUUAGUUGAAGCUUACUCUGGUCUAUGGACUUUCUUAGAAGGAAACGAGGCCGACGACAGUUGUUUGGCCCAGAACUGCACGUUUGGUGGCGGGAAGUGAGAGCCAAUCAGUCGCCGACCGAGACAAGAGCACGAAUAAAUGUGGACAGUGUGCUCAGUCCAGCGACAGAAACGGUGCUCGGCUCGCUGUGCACAGACAAGUGCUUCGCUCAGUCCAGGGACAUAAACAUAAAUACGAUCACCACAGCAAGCAGUGUAUUAGUUCGGCGUUUGGAAGAGUCGCCUGAGGGAGACGCGUGGAAUUUGUCGACCUUGCAUGGGAAGACGACUUAAAAUUCAUUACGUGGGCAACAGCGCUGGAUGGUUCAGAAAUAUAGUGAUUCGGUCUCUAUUGGUGCGAUAUGAUACUGACUGGUGACGGCAGUGGAUUGACAUCUGCACACACUAUACAUAAAACUAAAUAUAUAUAUAAUUUUUGUUAAAAAAUAUAGUUAAGGUAGUUUGUCUUGGUAAUCAUUUCCCCCGAAGAUUUGAGGAAAUUUAUCAAGUGAAUUAAUGUAUAAUGACUUAUAGUAAAUAUAUAACUUUGGAAAUAGAACAUUUUCUGUAUUUAACUGACAUUGUAAUUAUAAGGUGUGAAGGAUAGAUGAAAUUGUUAAUGUAAUGUCCAUUGAGGUUUGUUGAAGACCUGUUGUGCCCUCUGUAAUCCUUUUUGCGCUACCGCUCACAGGAUGAGCAUGGGGUGCACAAUCAACUAGCAUCCUCCGGCGGCAACAAUGCUGGCCCAUCCUGACUGUUUACCUGACGAGAACUGUUCCUGACCAGUACACACGAGACCUCGUUGCGGCAUUGAGGAAAUAGCUGGUGAUUUGUCGAUUCGUCAUCAUUCAUAAAGUGACGUAAGAAGUCAAUCGGCGAUGAAGAUGGUCCAAUUUUUCUUGGCAGAAAUUGUUCAGUGUGAAAAAUUUAGAUAGCGAAGCUUAAUUAGUUGAAUGGUACUUGUAAAUAAAUCUUGUAUGAGGACCAACAUCUUGCUACUAAUAAAGGAAAUACCUGGUACAUGUAAUUAAAGUAUUAGAUGUAUUGUCUAAAAUCAGAGUUAGCGUUUUCACUUUACGUACAUGUAAAAAGUAUUUAUUUUGCCCUAUAUUAACUUUCUUGCCAUGGUGACUUUUGAUAAUACUUUAUUUACCCUGCAAAGAUCAAUAUUUAAAUGUCUGAAGUGUUAAAUUACUAAAAUCUGUAAUGUAUUAAGUAUGGUAGGCACAGUGUAAACAGUGGUUGUUACCAGUAAUUAUAAUUCAAUUCUGGGGCCCCUCUAAUAUUUGAGAGGGCUCCUUGGUGCUGCGUAUUGGAAAGCGCUCGUAUUAGCAUUCUUGGUGAUAUUUAGCGCCCUCUGAUUCUCCCGCACAUUUGAUGGUGCUACAUAGCCUUCCCGGUUUGGUGCCUUCUUUUGAUAAUUACCUUACCUUCAGGUAGUACAUUGACCUACAUACAAGUAGGCAACAUAUACCUACCUACAUUAAUAGUAGGUACAAUAGAAAAGUUACCUACUAUUGGUGGCAACACUUGGCUUGCAAUGCCAAGUGUUGUAACGCCUAGCUUGUAACUGGGAGCUAAGUUUCAGGUCUGUGUCCGUCCUUUUCCCCCCUGUUACCUUGACCCCCUCCUUGUUGCCCCAUGAAUCUUCCCAUUGUGAUAAUAAAGAGGUACACGAA